rnacentral:rRNA from 1 species
CCAGACUCCUACGGGAGGCAGCAGUGGGGGAUAUUGCACAAUGGGGGGAACCCUGAUGCAGCGACGCCGCGUGGGCGAUGGAGCGCCUCGGCGCGUAAAGCCCUAUCAGCAGGGAAGAAGAUGACGGUACCUGACUAAGAAGCCCCGGCUAAAUACGUGCCAGCAGCCGCGGUAAUACGUAUGGGGCAAGCGUUAUCCGGAUUUACUGGGUGUAAAGGGAGCGCAGGCGGCGCGUUAAGCCUGGUGUGAAAGCCCGCGGCCCAACCGCGGGACUGCAUUGGGAACUGGCGCGCUAGAGUGCCGGAGGGGUAGGCGGAAUUCCUAGUGUAGCGGUGAAAUGCGUAGAUAUUAGGAGGAACACCAGUGGCGAAGGCGGCCUACUGGACGGUGACUGACGCUGAGGCUCGAAAGCGUGGGGAGCAAACAGGAUUAGAUACCCCAGUA